UGUAGCAAUACAGGUGGCGCACGGCGCACGGGUGCGUAACACGUGGGUAAUCUGCCCUUCGAUGGGGAAUAACUCCGGGAAACCGAAGCUAAUUCCGCAUAACAUUCCUUGAACCUCGGUUUGGGGACUCAAAGCCGUAAGGCGUCGGAGGAGGAACCCGCGCACGAUUAGCUAGUUGGUAGGGUAACGGCCUACCAAGGCUUUGAUCGUUAGCUGGUCUGAGAGGAUGGCCAGCCACACUGGAACUGAGACACGGUCCAGACUCCUACGGGAGGCAGCAGUGGGGAAUCUUGCACAAUGGGCGAAAGCCUGAUGCAGCGACGCCGCGUGGGGGAUGAAGCUUUUCGGAGUGUAAACCCCUUUCGACCCGGACGAAUGCCCCGCAAGGGGACUGACGGUACGGGUAUAAGAAGCCCCGGCUAACUACGUGCCAGCAGCCGCGGUAAGACGUGGGGGGCCAGCGUUGCUCGGAAUUACUGGGUGUAAAGGGUUCGUAGGCGGUGUAGCAAGUCGGGAGUGAAAUCUCUGGGCUCAACCCAGAGACUGCUUCCGAAACUGCUGUGCUUGAGUGUGGGAGAGGCGCGUGGAAUUGCAGGUGUAGCGGUGAAAUGCGUAGAUAUCUGCAGGAACACCCGUGGCGAAAGCGGCGCGCUGGACCACUACUGACGCUGAGGAACGAAAGCUAGGGGAGCAAACAGGAUUAGAUACCCUGGUAGUCCUAGCCCUAAACGAUCAGGACUUGGGGUGCCGCACGUUCGUGCGUCGUCCCGGAGCUAACGCGUUAAGUCCUGCACCUGGGGAGUACGGUCGCAAGACUGAAACUC
rnacentral:rRNA from 1 species